GUAUUUUAUAAAUAUGCCAAAAAGAUAUGUAUUAUUGUACAUUGGUUUUUGUAAUCCCCAUAAUUAAUUCAAAAGAUAUUUAUUACUGAAGUUUUAUUUACUAGUGCAGUUAACAUUACUAUUCAUUUCAUGAAAAUUAAUUCAAUGUAGAUUAAUGUCAUUGAAGUAAGGACAUUACAAUGUAUUCAGUGUGCAUACUAAUGUCAUUGUAGUUACAACAUUACAAUGUAUACUUUUGAAAUAACAAGCAUACUAAUGUCAUUGUAGUAACAACAUUACAAUGUAUACUUUUGAAAUAACAAACAUACUAAUGUCAUUGUAGUAACAAUGUAAAUAAACUCAUCAUAGAUACCAGGACAAAAGUCACCAAACUACACAUUUUAAUGUAAACAAGAAUUUUUGAUGAAAGAUCAUUUGUCUCUUGUGUCAAAGAUCAAGGAUAAUUUUUGAAAAAAUGUGAAGUGUCAAUUUCAGGAUUAUUUUCAUGUUAUAUAUUUUGAAAAGAAAACUAAAGAUUUAACAUCAACAUCCAAGGCAUUCCAGUGACAGAUAAGGAUAGAGUAAUAAAUCAAAUAUCACAUUCCACACAAUUCAUAGUCAUGUCAAUCAGUUGUACAAUCUUUUCUAGUUUCAUGUUAAUUUAAAUGGAAGAUCCAGAAAUUUUUAUAAGUGGAUGCCCACUGACUGCCUAAGAUGGGACAUGCUUUGGUGAUUCCCUGUAUAACCAACCAUUUUCCCCCCAGACCCCUGCCCCCUUAAUCCGCCUCUGCUCAUCAUAACACCAUGAAAUUAAAAUUAAAAAAGGGGAGUAACUUAGAUUCACUAAGCUAAACAUUGUUAUUUCAUUGACACUUUCUAUGUACAUUUCAAUAACACAUAUCACAACAGGUUUUUAUGGAACGAACUACAUUGUACAUUUCUACAUUUGUUUAAAGGAGUUGGUGUAUUAGAAUUGGCCUAUGACAUGGUGCAUUCAGAAUCAUCUGAAUUUUGCACUGUUACAUUUGGAAUUUUUAAAAGUGCAAAGGUAUAACCUUUAGAACUUUUAUAGAAUAUAGCUUAUCAUUUAAAUUUUAGAAUAAAAAGCAAUAACAACUUGAAAUUUUCCUUAAAACACCAAAUGUCGUAUAAUUUGUUUUGGCACAAAUAUAUUAUUGAGAAACAUUAAACACAUACAUAAAGCACACUAAACCGAACAGAAUGAAUAAUUUCUUUAUUUUGUUGAGAAACUACUGAAAAGGUUUACAGUUAUUUAAUCCUUUAAUACAAGUCUAGAAUUAACCCAAUUAAAAGUACAAAGGAGUAGGUUCAGUAAGACCCCUUUUUGGCCCAAAAAUAUAGCAGUUUUACAAAAUUGUGAAAAUGUAAUCUUUUAGCUAUUUACUGGAAAGUAGAAUGCUUCUGCUAUAUAAAUAUAGGCUGAUUUGACAAUACAAUGCACAUAUAUUGGGUACUAGCAUCAUUAAGUCAUGCUAAAUUACUGAAAUCUUCACAAUUUUAGCAUUUUAAUUAAAUUUUAGACGGUUUCCGUCUUAAAUGAAAGUGGCCGCAUUUGUGUUCAUUCAUAAUAUUGAAAUGUAAGUUGUAUUUGAUGAUAAUACAUAACAUAUAUAAAGGUUGAGGAUGAACACGGAUGCGGCCACUUUCAUUUUUGACAAAAACCAUCUAAAAAGUGACGUUUUUUGUCAUAUUUGAUAGAUUUUUCAUAUUUAAGCUUGAAUCGGAGCGUUUUUAAAUACUAAGACAGUUAAAAUCAUUCACAUAAAGUAAUUGAAUCAAUUGAAAUAGACACUUAAGUGUUUAAAAAGUGUCCAAAAUCUUUCGUUAGAUGAACCUGAAAUUUGACGAUAAAAUCGGCCCUUAUCGGAACUACUCCUUUCAGUGAAAACAAUUUGCCAAAAUAUGUUUGAUCCCGAUAAAACACAUAAGAAUGUCAAUUCUAAUCAAACCAAUUUUACACAUGCAUAAUGUACAAAAUUUAUCUUAAGUUCAUAGAAAAUUAAAUCUUUGUAUUUAGAUUAUUAUUUUUUGUUGUUGAAUGGACACAAAUGUUAAUAGCAUUCAAGUUUUUUUGUGUUAAAAAUAAGGUUGCUUUAAAACACUGUAGCGGGACUUCAAUUAGCUAAACAGUCUGUUCUGUUCAUUUGCCCUUAUCUUGAGAGAUUAAAUUUUUGUACAAUAAUCUGAAUGUACAUACAUCUAAUGUUUAUUUAUAGAUUAUCGUUGAUCAUCUCAAUGAGAUUGAUUUUCUUGCUUGAGCCGGGACGGUGAAAGCGAAAAAAAGCAAUUGAGUUGAGAUGACCAAUGAUAAUCUGUUUAUCGCAAUUUUUACCUAUGAUGACGUUGUCAAUUUCAUGUCAAUUUCAUUAGCAACUCCACAUGCUUCCUUAGUUUCUAGUGAUAAUUUUCCAUCUCAUUCGAGUAGCAUGAUAUGACAAAUUAUCACAAAAAAAAAGAUCAAAGGAAAAAUGCACAAAAUAGCGAUAAAAACUGUUCUUACAAGUUUUCACUGUAUAUAUUCAUGUAUAUUUCUUUGUUCCUUUAACAUAUAUGUACAUGUAUCUUACUGUUUUGUAAAUUUCAUAUUUUACUGUUUCUUGUGGUUACAUAUCAAUGCAUAUAAAGAGUUUGUUAAUAAUGUCUUUACCAAAAAUAAGAAGCUUUAUUUGACAAAGGCAGAAUUCUUUUCUUCUUUAAAUUUUUUUAUUUUAUAAAAUAUUUUUCUUUUAUGAAGCUUUACAAUCAAACAAAAUGUGUAUGUGAUAAAACUGUAAAAUAAAUGUUUUUUUACACAGUCUACCAAGUUUUCUAUUUUCAUGAUACUAUGCGUGAAAAUAAUUCUAUUUAUAGACUGCCCUGAGAGUUGUAACACAUGCUAUUGUAUAAAGCCAAAAAAAAUAUAAACGCAAAUACGCUGUGAUUAACAAGGAUGUAAAAUAAGAGUUGACCAAAAAUUCAUAUGUGAUAAUUUUAUAUAAAAAAAGUGCAAAAUAUAUUAUAAUACAUAGGUAAAAAAAUGUGUCAAAGCUAUACCUAUACUAUAACUUACUUUUUCCCAUGUUUAUCAAAAAGGUCUAUAUGAAAGAUAGAUAAAAAUAAUUUUUCAUAACUGAAAUUUACAACUCCUGAUAGGAUGUAAAUAUACUGCUUAGAUAUAAAAACAAGCACUUAAUUAUCAAUGAAAAUAUUAAUUAACACUUUAUAGCACAUUUUCAUACAUAUAGAGUUUUAUUAGACUUUGAUUUGUCCAAUUUUUCUAUUAUGAAUAAACGCAAUGCACAAAUUGGUAUCAACAUUUGCUUCAGAGCCAUUUAUAUUAUUUUACUAAAAUAUACCUUGAUAAUGUUCCAUGCAGGAAUGUUUAUGGGUCAAUGGUCAAAGUUAUAGCAUCUAUAAUUAGCUUAUAUUUUAGAAAUACUGUUCCUUGAAUUUUAUUGAGUCUUUUCAGAAUUUAUUGGAUUUAUCACAUUGCAAGUAAUAUAUCUUCAAACACAACUUCUGGUCAAUACUUGACUGUAGUGAGUGAGAUAUAUUUGGGAGUUUUACAAUUUACUUUAAAUUGAUUGUUGAUACAAAGAAGCAAAACAGGAUUACAAUUUUCUCAUGCUCAAAAUAUUAAAUGAUCUCAGAUUCUAUUAUUAGAUCUCAAAACUUUUUUUUUCUAUUGUUCCAUGACAAUAUAAUAAUAUUUUCAGGCAUUUUAAGCCUGUAUUAUUUAUGUUCGACAUCAGACAUCUAAAAAAAAUCACAAGUAAUUAGAAAAACUUCAUACCAAAUUUCUUGACACUUGUGUUUUACAGAAUGAUUUUAAAACUAACAAUGGAACAGAAUUAGAAAUGUUUAUCCAUUUUCAGUCUGGUAAAAUGUUGAUAGGUAAAAUUUAAACACACAAGUUCAUUUUGUAUCACCAAAAUGUUUUAUUUAAAAAUUAGAAUUUCUCAGUAAACUUUAACCUAAAGGAUUAAAACUAAAAUUGUGGAUUCAUUUAUUUUUGUGGAUAUAAAUUUUUGUUGGUUUAGUAAAAAUUGGAUUUCAUGGUUUUGCUUGUACACAAGUCUAUAGUAAAUAUAUGCUGUGUUGAAAAUUUAGAAUUCAAGGUUGACUGUUACCCACGAAAUCAACAACAAUUGGCAUACCAGAAAUAAUAAUGAAUCCAUAGUUAUCAAUCUUGUUUUUGGUUGUAAUGAAUUAAUUUCUUCUCAUUGGAUGCACUGGAUUGCACAUGUUUGACAGUUUUUUAUUGUAUUGGAUAUAAACAUAAAUUGUUAAGAUUGAUAUAAAGUUUCUAUUGUCCAUGACAGAUAUGCCAUCCCACUGGCAAUCCAGAAUGAUAGUAGGAACUAGUUCAAUUGGCCGUUUCAGAAUCUAAUGCAUUCUGGGUAAUAUUUUCACAACUGUACACCAAAACUUUGUGAUUGGUGAAAAACGAUCCAAACAAUUGAAAUUCAACCAAUGACGUAAAGUUAUUUUCAUUUUGGUGUACGAACAAUGAGAUACCCAUAGUCCUUCAGAUUCUGAAAAGGUGAAUUAUUGGUAUAUAUGGUUAAAACUGCACAUUGUGAUCAGAUCAUUUAAAUUUCACUGCUAUUUUUGAAAGCAGUGAGAUUGGUCAAUUUGAGUUUGAUGUAAUAAGGGGUACCAUUCUAGCAAAUCUUGUGACAUAAUAUCAACUGAUAAUUAUAUUAUGCUAUAAGUAAGACAAAAUAUAUAAUAUAUAUUGCCUGUUAGAAUGUUUAGUUACUAUAUUUAGUUUAUUUUGUUGUUUUUGUAAACAACAAAAGGGAACACCUCUUACAUUAUAUGUAAGUGUAUGUGUAUUUUAUAUUUUCUUCACCAUUUGAGUUAUGACACCAUCAUGCAAAGGUCAUGAUAAUUGUAUGUGAAUUAACAUGUGUUAGAGUACAUGCAUUUAAAAUGUGUAAUAUUACUGUGUUUUUUGUUUAGUUUUGUAAACUGGGUUUUAGUUUAUAAUAACAUUUGUUAUAUGUGUUUUCUAUGAUAAUAGUGCAUAACUGCAGUGAAUUUGUGUAUUAGAUGGGUUAAAGAUUGCAAAUACCCUAUGUAUCCCAUAUAAAAGAGAAAAAAAAAAAUCAAUACUGUUUAGAAUAAUUUAAUAUUAAGAAAAUUGACAGUCAAACAACAACAUAGUUUUCCAGUUUUAUUUCAACACCAGAAAAGCUAGUUGAUCAGUUAUAAAACAAUAGUGAAACAAUUAUUACAUUCAUAAAAAGUAUAUGACAAUAAUAUGUUGUGCUCAUUUUCAACCUUGCUUAUUAAGAACAAGUGGAAAGAACUAUUUGUUGGAUAUAAUUUGUUUUUUGGCAAUAAUUUGUUUUUUCAUUUUAAGAUAUUAAGCUUCAGAAAGAUUAUCUAUCAGCUAUAAUACAACCUAUACAGUACCCUUACAUUCCAAUUUAUAUAAAACAUUUAUUCAAGUCUAUAAGUACAGAACGGCACAUUUCUUUGGACUUAGGCAAAGUCAAUAAGUACAGAAAGGCACAUUUCUUUUGACUUAGGCCAUUUAAAUUUAACGAUCAUUUUCUCAAUUAUUUAAAGAUACCUGUCUAAAGAGGACGAAGGGUUUGUCUUAAUACUGAAGGAUUACAGUUUAUUGUGGCCAUAAAAACAGCUUUUUUUUUAUUAUCACAAUUGGUAUACAUUUUGUGUUAAAGACUAAAUAUGUUUUAUUAAUGUUUAGCAGUCCCUUAUAAUUAUCUCUGCACCAAUAAUAAAGUUAUGGGAUAUAUUUGAUAGAUCUGUCCAACUGGAUACUAUAAAAUCAGAAAUAAUUGCCAGGCUCUUACUAAUGUGAAUUAAAUGACUUGGAGAGUUUUACAAUAAUAAGAACAUGCAUUCUGAUCAUUGAUACAUAUAUCUGUAUAACAAGGAAUUGUUUGAAUCUGGAAUAAUUUUGAAUUCUGUAAAAUUGAUAAGGAUUGUGAUAUGAAAACUAAACAAAAGAAAUAGGGUUAGCCCUACAGAUUCAAAUAUUUCCUUGUUGUUUUCAGAUUUUAUUGGUAUAACAAUUAUUAAUUUCUUAAUUUUGCAAGUUUACAAAAAUUACAAUAAUUAGAUACAUGCAUAAUUUUUUUAUUUACAGUAGAUGUAGGACAGACAAUGACAGAAUCCUAUAAUUUCAUUAUUUACUGAUGGAUUCUGGGAAAAUAAAUUAAAGCAAGACUGUAAAGCAAGGAUUGUUACUGAUUUUCAAAUAAAAAGUUAUCCUUUGAUUUGUUUUGUCACUGCCUAAGUGAGUUUUCAUCACGUAAAGAUCUACUUCAGUCCAUGCUUUAGUCCAAUAAGAUUGUUUUAUUGUAAAUAUUUCCAUUUGAGUACUACCUCUAGUUAAUCAGACUCACAAGAGUUUAUAACAAAUUCAUAUCAUUGUUACAGCCAUGUUAUAUCUGCUGGUAGAUUUUGAUUGGCUGGUUAAAAUAUUAUAAUUACAGAGAAAUAACAUAUGUAAAUUUAUGUAAAUUAUUGUUACAAAAAAUGUAUGUAAAAGUGAUAGAGAAGAAAACUGAAGGAAAAUGAAAGUAUAUUAUAUAUUGUUUGGAGAGAGUUAAUAGAAAAUAUAUUGUUCAGUUUAUAUUUAUAUUUUCUGUUUAUAGAAGCUUUAUUUAAGAAUAAGUUCUUUACUUUAAAAUUAUCAAUAUGGUUAAAUUUGAUUAUCUAAGCUUCGCCUUAAAAGGGGAGUUUAAAAAAAGCUAAAAAAAUUUUUGUGAUUCUUUUGAAAAAUUUGAAAUUGAUGACAAAUUGUGAAUAAAAUUGUUGUUUUAUACAGUUAGUUAAUAACAAGUAACAAACUCACACAGAAAUAUACCAGCUGACAAUCUAAUACCAUGAUAUUUGUUAAUCCAUGAAAAGAAAUUUCUCAUACAUGUACAUAAACAUAAUCCAAAAGAUAUUUUAGUAGAUUUAAUAUACAUGGAUCUUUGUUGACACAGGUUGAGGUAUGUUGUUAAUAUUGAAAGCCCAAUUGAUUUGGAAGCAAGACUUUUUUUGAGUUUAUUGUUCCAGGUAUUUUUUGUCUGUUUUAUAAGUAUUUAUAUAAUCUUUUGUUUAUUUUGAUUGUUUGAAUCUCUGGACGAGACAGUAUUUAACAUUGCCACUUCAAGUGCAUAGUUUACAUUAUCUAGAAUGAUUACCUCCCUUGUGAAUCUGUUUGAGUUAUCUCCACUUUAACAUAAAUUAGAUAGAAUCUGAAAUGAAUCUUGCAAUGUUUUUCAAUGAUAAAUUUCAAACUAAAUUUCUAAGCACGAAUUUCACAAUUGGAUACAAUGGACAUCUUCUUAAUCUUAAAUUAUUUUUUUUCAUCAAAUUCAACUAACUUUCCAAUAAAAUGGAGAUAAAAAAGGGAGAAAAUAAUUUUCCGUCUAUUUGUGAUAAUUUUUUAUACAAAAAAAAUAGAAAAUCAAAAGAAAAAAUUUACCUUACUUUGUAAGAUCAGAUCUGAGCCACAAAAAAAAAAAACACAAAUACAGACACUUACCAGUAUCUCGAAACAUAAAUUAACAUUCUAUUAAGGAGGCUGGUAAAGAAAAAAUAUUUUCCAAAAGACAAUUUAUGAAAUAAAAUUAUAAAAGAUAAUGUAAACUAUGGUUGUUAUAAAUAUUCUUUAUUUUUGUUAAGUGCCAUGUUGUACAGAAGUUGUUAGCACUCUUAGUUCUAUGAUUUAUAAUUUGGUUUUGUGCCAUUAUGUAUAAAAGUUAAUAGUCCUUUGAUGCCAAAGAAAUGUACUUAUUUUGAUAAAUAACUAAUUUUGUCGAGAAUAUAUUGAAGAUUGAUGACAAACUUUUGUUUUUGUUAUUUAUUUAAAGCCUAUAUUACUUAUAAGCUGUACUAGUAUAAAUAAAUUAUCAAUCAAAUUGUCAAUUCUAUAUUGACUUUUCCAAGGGCUUUGUUAACAAAGCCAUGUGGUUUAACCAACAUUACUGAGCUGAAACUCGGGCCAAAAGAAGCUCUUGGUAAAAUUGAAUUUAAAAUGUCAGAUGCCAAAUGAUUUGUACACACAUGUAUGAUUUCACUUGUUACACCAUUGUAAAAAGCCCUAGUUUGAAGAGAAUAAAGAAAGAGGCAUUUUGAGGGUAUAGCAUGGCAAAAACUAUUAACUUACUAGUUAAAAAUCCAAAUCUCCAAGCAUAAUUAUUUGUGUCCAAUGACGAAAAAUCUUCCUAUCCAAACUAAAUUUAAAUCGCUUUUUAUUGUAAAACAAUACACUAAAUAUCUUCAAGCAAAAUAAAAGAAAUGUGGACAACUGAUUAAGAUUUAGGACCAUCACUGCAAAAAAUCAUCAUACCUAACAAUAAUCAAACUUGUCAUUGUUAAACUAUUAAACAAAUAUCAUAUCAACAUCUGCAAGCAUGAUGAAAAAAGUGCUUUAAACUAAUUACUUAUGAGAAUUUUUUAAAUCCAAGGACUGUAACUGUGCAAAACAAUCAUCAUACUGGAACAAAAUUCAAACAUGAUCUGUAACUGGUCAUAAUAAAACUGUAUACCAA
rnacentral:lncRNA from 1 species